rnacentral:rRNA from 1 species
CACGUAGGGCGCGAGCGUUGUCCGGAAUUAUUGGGCGUAAAGAGCUCGUAGGCGGCCUGUUGCGUCCGCUGUGAAAGCCCGGGGCUUAACCCCGGGUCUGCAGUGGAUACGGGCAGGCUAGAGGUAGGUAGGGGAGAAUGGAAUUCCCGGUGUAGCGGUGAAAUGCGCAGAUAUCGGGAGGAACACCGGUGGCGAAGGCGGUUCUCUGGGCCUUACCUGACGCUGAGGAGCGAAAGCUAGGGGAGCAAACGGG